UACAGAGGGUGCGAGCGUUAAUCGGAGUUACUGGGCGUAAAGGGCGCGUAGGCGGUUAUUUAAGUUAGUUGUGAAAUCCCUGGGCUUAACCUAGGAAUUGCGAUUAAUACUGGAUAGCUGGAGUACAGUAGAGGGUGGUGGAAUUUCCGGUGUAGCGGUGAAAUGCGUAGAGAUCGGAAGGAACAUCAGUGGCGAAGGCGACCACCUGGACUGAUACUGACGCUGAGGCGCGAGAGCGUGGGGAGCAAACAGG
rnacentral:rRNA from 1 species